rnacentral:rRNA from 1 species
CCUACGGGAGGCAGCAGUGAGGAAUAUUGGUCAAUGGACGGAAGUCUGAACCAGCCAUGCCGCGUGCAGGAAGACGGCUCUAUGAGUUGUAAACUGCUUUUGUACAAAGGAAAACCUGAAUACGUGUAUUCAGCUAAAAGUACUGUACGAAUAAGGAUCGGCUAACUCCGUGCCAGCCGCCGCGGUAAUACAGAGGAUACAAGCGUUAUCCGGAUUUAUUGGGUUUAAAGGUUGCGUAGGCGGUUUGGUAAGUUAGAGGGGAAAUGUACGAGCGUAACUCGGGAACUGCCUCUAAUACUUGUGAUCUAGAGAGUAGAUGCGGUAGGCGGAAUGUAUGGUGUAGCGGUGAAAUGCUUAGAGAUCAUACAGAACACCGAUUGCGAAGGCAGCUUACCAAUCUAUAUCUGACGUUGAGGGACGAAAGCGUGGGGAGCAAACAGGAUUAGAUACCCCAGUAGUC